AGAGGGAGUGAGGGAGGAGCGCACCGCGUCGCGAACCGGGAGAGCGGAGCGCGGGGCUCGGGCUCGGCCGGGACGGGGCUUUCAGCCAGAGCCGCUCCGAGGCACCGCCGCUGAACCCGGCUCCGAGCGGUGCCCCUCGAGCAGCGGUCCUGGCGCGGUGCGGCUCCAGACGUCAGCUCCGUGCUCGUUUAACUGGGCUCGGCGGUAAGUCACAGAAUCUUCCUUACAGCGUGUUCGGAGCCUGCCUCCUCGCCCUUAGCGACAAAUACAGACACUUUUCUCCGCGUUCCCGCUCUGCGGUAAAAAAGAACGGAGCCCGUGGGAAGCACAGUUCCAGGUGUUUGACUUUGAGGGAAGGAAAGCGGACCCCAGGCUGCGACCCGCGGAGAGCUGGGAGAUGAGGCCGACCGCUGUUAUCCUCAGACGGAGCCGAGCAUCGCUCAACUGUGGGGAAAUACCAAAUCCCCACCCUUCUGCGCACUGCCCGACGGCUGAGCUCAUUCGGCGUAUAUUACAAUGCGACCCCGCACUGUAGGCAGUGAGGAAAACUGUGUCAACAGGAGCCGAGAGGUCGUAAAUUAAAGAAAGAGAAAGAUAGAGACGGAGGAGCUGCAGAGGCGGCGGCCGAGCCGCGGGUCCUUCUCCUGCGGGAACUCGGAGCUCUCGGGGAGGAGGCGGCGGGGAUGCCUGCGGAAGGCACCGGGGAAGAGCAAGGGGGGAGCGGGCCCGGCGCAGGGGGAAGGAGCGGCGCUGAGCCCGGGGUUCAACUCGGCCGCGCCGGGGGGCUGCGGGGCGGCAGGAGUGGUGGGCUCGGCGGGCACGGCCUGGGAGCCGAGCGGGUGAUGCCAGGCUCCGGAGGGAAGGGGAGAGAGGUGUGCGGUCUCUGGGGGCAGUGCACCGGGACAGAAAGCGGCUGUGCGUGUGUAUGAGUAUAUACCCUUGUGUGCGUCUGGUGUACGCUACGAAAAGGCAAAGCCAGUCCAGACGUAGAACGUAUGUAAAUACACGUUCGGCCACACGUACGCAUGCUUGCACUAAAACGGCUGAUAAAUCUCUAUCUAUGUGUGCGCGCAUAUGUCGUGUUGUCCUAAGGAAAUAACGUAUCUCCGGUGCAGUUUUUUAGAUUGCAGGGAGGCCGCGGACACCCCGCGCCCGGAGGCCACCGGCACAGCGCCUGCAGCGACGGCCGGCACACGGCGCUCCUCCGGCUGCGUUCGGCCGCGGUGCUUCCCUCGGUGCGGAGCAGAAGCGGCAUUGCCGAGGCUGGGAGAACGCAUGGGCUGAGGAUGGGGACGUGCUCCUUUGCACUCUCUUUACUCGUGUAGGAGCUUUCUGACACGCCACGGGCUGGACCGAAACUGCGGCAGCGUCCGUGGCACUGCGGUGACUCCGACAACAUCCCCUGUGAUGAAGGGAACGGAUAACGUGAGACAGAGAAAAAGGAAUAAAAGAUCCAGGAGAUAUGGCUCAGAACGCCGGUCUCGAAGCUCGAAUCGUUAUUGCUUAAUUAGCUUUGGAGAAAGGGGCUCUCUCGCUAAAGCACCCAGCAGGACCAUACAUAUAAUUUUCCUCCUAUCCCCCGGCGAUUGCUUAUGCAUUUCAUAAAGUGAAUUUUAGUGCGAACGCCUCCCUCGUGUCCUCCCCCAACUCCUCGCCUCUCAGGCCGCGCUUUGCUCUUCGGCUGCAGCCGCCACAGCCCUACACAACGUUCACAGGACUGGGCUCAGGGGCAGCUGACAAGUUUAUCCCAUCUCCCAUUUAUUGAUUUGAAUCGUUGUUCUUUUUUUCCCCUUCCCCACUCACAAAUCAGUCGCUUAGAAAAGGGGGGGAGGGGGGGGGGGAAGGAAAAAGAAAAAGGAAAGAAAAAAAGCUCUCCCCGUAUGUCACUUUUUUCCCCGCCAGGGAAAAAAAAAAAAAAGGUUGCACGUCAGGCGGGGAUCUCUGCUGCCAGACAGCACUUUCCGAGCUCGCCGCAAUUAAGAAGUUUUGGUGGCGACCGCGCCGAGGCUGCUUUUCCCUCUCCUCCACCCCGGGCUCUUUCUGUCUUUACGCACUUAUCUGGGGGUGACUCUCCGGGGACAGCAGAACGACGGCGGCGGGCCGUACAGCGGGACUCGGAGCCGCCCGGGGUCGGGCAGCGGCAGCCCCGCCGCGUCACGGGGUGUCGGGUCCCGUCCCGCUCCGGGCGGCAGCGAAUGGCCCCUCCUUCAUUCACCUUGCAGCUCCACUAAGCCAAGGAACCCCCCCAGCACCCCAAGGGCACCCCGGCCCUGCCGUCUCCACCCCCGGCUCUCUUUUCCCCACGUUUUCUGCCUACCACAUCGCUCGGCCGCCCGCUGCACGGCUCGGAGUAGCGUUUGGAUUUAUAGCGUGCGUGAUGUCACCGGCCGGGAGCGAGGGAAUGGGAGAAGGGUGUAAUCCUCGGAUGGGUUUGGGGACACCGCGGUACCCCGCGCCCCAGCGGCACUUCCUUCCUCCGAGACACCGCUCAGGAGUCCGUGAAAGACCACAAAGCCUCAGGAAAGCGGACUUCUUUAGAGAGGCACCGGAGAAAUAUCAUUUGAAGGUCAACCUGUCAGCGUGGGUUAAUGAAAAGGACUUGUGCCUAAUGGGCCUACUUAUGCCCGCAGUUACACUCAGGCAACCUCGAUUUCAGCGUCUGGGGCAGAGGGCAGAAUUGGGCCCACCAGGCCCGAACUAAUUGCUGCCCUUGAAGGCGGAGGAACCCUGCUUUACGUUACUGCUAUGGGGUACGGACGUCCACACGUUUCGGGCACGAUAACCUACGCAGUGUGUUAAAAAAGAGGAAAAGCAAAAGGCAUACAUAAAAAAAGCAGGGACGAGGAUAACCCGAGACAGUGAGCACUGCGCAGGUUGCAGUGAUUGGCGGUAAGCGCGGGACCGUGCGCAUUUUCCUACUGCAUGUGUGAGCAAUUAUUGCUGAUAUUCGUCACCGAGGAUCCAGAGUUGCAUUCAGACCUCAGGAAGAAAUCACGGAAAGAAAAAGAGAAUGCAACGAACUCAAACCAAGAGCCCUUCUUUGUCAGAAGGGCGAUAAUAAAGGCUGUGUGAAACGCCGCUGUGAGCGCACAGUGCAUCUCUCUGUUCCUGGGUUGCCAAUCUCCUGAACACCCCCGUGCAUUAUCACGCACACGGAUGCCUACAGACACGCACACAUUUUUCCAUGUAAUGUUGUUUGCGUUCCUGGCAAAGAGCAUCCUGAAUCCGCUCUUGAGCCCGGCGCCGGUGAACUCGCUCGCGGGUGCCACUGCUUUAUUACCGAUUUCUCCUCCAGCAACCGAAGUUCCCGCACUGGAGGGGUUGGGUUGGCAUCGUUUGGGGUUUGACAAAGCUCAACGCUCCCAUUGUUAUCGACGGAAAGACCCCACCGGACAAGGCAGGGCUUUAAGUAGCGUUCACACAUCAAAGGCAACCGAGCCUGGUUUAACAGACGUCCCACCGGAGGGUGGGAAAUCCCCUCGGCGUCCCCCUCCCCGCAGCCCGAGCUGUGCGUGCCCGAUGCCCCGUUGCCGUGCGCCCGCAUGGCAGCGUCGGCCCCGCACUUGUCGGGGGCAGCGGAGCGCGGGGCCUCGGCGCGUAUCUCGGUGUAAUUGAUCUGCCCGAGUGAGGUCUUUUUGGUAAUUUGGAUACACCGAGUCUCCAGUUAAUGACAUAUAAUCAGCCUUUAGGUCACUUGGUCAUUCUCUUAUUACAAACUCCUCCUGCUCUCUCUGAUCUCCUUUCAAACUAAAUUUCACACAAACAAAUAAAGCAAGACAGGGACAAGUCCUUAAAACGCGAGAGAGAAAUAUCGGAGAAUUGCUCGUGGGGAACUAUAAACAUUUUAAAAAGAGAACCCGAAAAGAUAGGAAGGAACAUCUUAUCGAGAAAGAGAGCAUUGUGUACAAAGCACGGGGGAAAUCGGUCUGGCUUCUGUUAAAAAUGACAUAAAAUUAAAAUAAAAAUAAUUACAAACAGAAAUGGCAUGGCAGAAACAGAGGGCAGGAGGCUUUACUGGAACCGCGCGACCGCGCCGUAACGCGCUCUGACGACACUACGGCCGAUCCGCGGGUGUGGAAAACGCUCAUUUGCUUCCCGUUAGCCGGCAAAAGAAAGGGGAAAAAAAAAACCCUAAAAGCCUUUUCUCUUCGGGAAAGUAACAGAAAGAGCCGCGUGUCAUUUACCUCCCGAGACCUGCAGGGAAACGGAGCCGCGGCCAAAGCCUUGGGUGUAAAUGCGACAACAAAAAUAAAUAUUUGACAUCACCGCGCAGAACAUAUUUUACGAAGUCAACACUUUGUUUUUCUGCUUUUCAUUUUUUUCCACCCCCCUUCCCCUCUCGGAAAAGACAAUGCCCCUUUUUAUUAGGUGCUCCUUAGGAGGUUAUUUUGAUCUCUCUCCAGGUCCGUCUCUCUGCGGGGAACACCGCGCUGCGGUGCGCGCAGAGCGCGGGGCGUUGGACGGAGCCGGGCUGGGGGCUGCGGGCGGGGCGGGAUUGGAGCGCACCCCCGGUUUCGGAACCGGAGCUCGAUUAUAAAAUGGAGAGAGAGCGGAUUUCAGCGUCGCUCAAAUGUUAGCACUCGAGGAGGAAGCAUGAAAAUGGACAGAAGUCCACAUUCCCUUACGGGCACUAGCAUCUUUCGAAAUAUUAUCGACGUGCGUUUUACCAAAGAUCUCGUUUGUAUUUAAUACGGGGUUCAGACAGGCGCUAAUUGGGCGUAUAAAUGUACGUGAGACUGCGAGUAUCAGCGCCCGGGCAGGCUCGCCCAGCGAGGGAAAAAGGGGCAAUGAAUACGUGGAAAAGAGUGUCACAAGGCCCCAGCGCGGAGCAUAUCAGUGACAAACCUCGUUGCUGGCUCACUACGUUCGCUGCCGUUUCAACAUUUCCAAGGGCCUCCGUUUCUCCGCCCGCCCGUCCGCGGUCGGCUGCCCCGAAGCGCGGUGCCGCGGCAGAGACCCGGCCCGGUAACGCGAGAGGCUCAGUGAGGCAGAGCCCCGACGGGGCGCACGCUGGGGGCCGGCACCAGUUGUGCCCCGGCUCCUCCGCUGCCCGAGGGUAGCCGAGGGGGUGCGAGAGGCCGGGCAGGAGGCCCGCUGUCCCCCGCUGCCCCUCGUCUUCCCGCGGCUCCCCCAGCCCCGGAGGAGCCCCGAGGCCUGGGGGUGGCUGGAAAGUGUUAAGCGCUGCCCCCUCCUCCUCCUCCUCGAGCCCCCUGAAUGCCACUGCUUUCCUCUAGAGGUCUCAUUAGGGAAACCCUAACUGCUAUUUUCAACAUUUCCUCAAUCAAGCGCCUUUAAAUAGAGCUCCACAAACAAAUUGGCGGCAAAAAGCGCAGAUCUUGUCAGGGGAGAGGCCGCUCCAAUAUUUCACCCUUGUUUGCUUUGUAAUUACGGCCGGGCCGGUGGCUACCUGCCCGCUGGGGCCGGCUUCCCUCGCCCCCCGCUGCCGACACCUCUCCCACCCAGCGAGCCGUCCCGGGGGCGGCUGGAGGGGAAUAAGCAAAAACUAGAGAGCGGCAUCGCCCCGCGCCCAGCUCUGCCCGAGCUCUGCGGCUCCCAGCACGCGGGAUUCCCCCCGCAGCUCCGUCCCGAGGGCUGCCCCCGCCCGGCUCUGAGGGCCGUCGCUUUUGCUUUGCGCGCUUCUUCUCUCCCUCUCUCUGCUAAACCGCUGUUAUGAUUUGUUAUAUUUUCCACAGCUGCUUAUUCUUGUUUGACUGUUGUACAAAGCCGCUUUAAAUCUGCUGCAGGAAGAAUAAAAGUUAAAACCGCUCUUGGACGGGUUCCUGCAGACUCAUGGGCGAGUCCGGGUCCGUGGCCGUCCCCGAGCAACGCCGCGGGCCCCGAGAAGCCCCUCCCGCAGCCUGGGGCAGCCGCCCGCUCGCAGCGACAACAAAAAUCGGCGCUAAUUCAAUUAGGGCUGAAGCCCGCGUGUAGCAGAGGGGAACUUUGGCGCUUAGGAACUAAGCUGCUAUAUUCGCUUGGCUAUAAACUGACGAGAAUAUUUUAUGGCGGAGGAGAACCGUACAACACAAAAGGGAAAUAUGACAAUAAAUCUCUUUUUAUGGAUCCUCUCUAGCAGCAAAACCACAAGGAUUCCACGGUUUUACCGCUCAGCCGUUUUACAGGUACAUCUACAGAUGCCUACGCAGAGAAGAGCGCCCCGUUUCCGCCACCUGGCCCCCAGAACGGGGACGUCCGACUCUGCGUCCCCAGCCCAAAGUCAGCCCCCCCUCCCCGACUUCCACAGGCGCAGCACCGGCACGAGAGCUCCGUGUGAGAGCUGCGAGGACACGCUCUGAUCAUUGACGGUGCCACCGCGGUGCCCUUCGCUGCUUUACUGACACGCACAACUUUAAGGCAGAAGUGAAUUCUGCACCGUUCCUCUCCGGCUGAACACAGAGUCACUUUCUUUCUGGUUGCUCCCAAACGAUAAACGUUUGAGAUCGUUUAUCCACCCGCUAAAGGAGCUAAAACACAGCUCUGGUUUCACAGGGCCAGGUUUAUAGAGAGAUUCACGGACUAAAAUAAGAAUAGGUAGUUCAGGGGGGGGAUUUCAGAGUGGCGAGGAGUCCAGAGAUCCUUGAAAUAUGUGCAGGUUCAGCAUGGAAACCUCUUUGAUGAUUUAAACCCUGAAUAUGAUUGGAAACCAAAAUACACAGCUCUCUGCCCUCAGUACCUUUAAAAAUUGGCCUUGCAGAGAAUAUAUUUUUUUCAGAGUCGCGUUCCACUGUAAAAUGCCAUUUAUAUGCCCUAAACCCGUUUUAUUAAAUGCUAGCAAGUCAGCUUCUCAAGCAGUAGGAAUAUUUUUCUCUGUCCUCAUGCCCUGUUUUGAUUCUUUCUUAUUACUGAGUCCUAAUCAGGCUCACUCUCGUCGCCCAAACCCCAGUUCAGGUCACCAAGAAAGCAAGGAAUAGCUGCUAGGUCUGGUGGUUUGCUGCCGGGUUGUGAUUUAGAAGUGCAGGCUCAAAUAAAACAACUUCACAUAUCGUCUCACAGUUUCACAUACUUCUUUUCCAGCGGAUCAGGCAAACGAUUUCAGAACCCUGGCUUUCUUAAGGAAAGCUGUGGAACAAUCUAUGGAUCUGAAACGUCAAUCCUAACCACCUAACACCUACAAAAUGUAACGGUGGGAAAAAGAAAGAUGACCCACACUGACAGACACAGUCCUCCUCAUCAGGGAAAUGGUCGGGAUGUUCUUGAGCUCGCUCCGGUACGUCCACCAGGCUCACAUAGAGGAGCAGAACACCUUACAGACCGACUGUGCUCCGUUUCCUACUGAGAAGCUGUCCUGAGCUGAUCUCUAUUCCACCGAUGUACUGCAAGUGCUGUUUUACAGCCACUUCAAGGACCUCUGUGCUUGUCUGCAGUUUGCAGCACUGGCAGAAUAGAGGGAAGACUGAGCCCUGUAUGCACGGUUAUGCUCGGUGAGCUGGAGGCCAGGGGCUCUGCCCUGCACGCAGUGGAGCCCACUGACUCCAUGUGUGUACUAUUCCUAAAGAUAUGUCCUAACUUGUAAAAACUGUGCAUGCCCAUUUCAUGUGAUAUGUGCAUGCUCACAUCUGGGCUGCAUGUGUGGAAAAAGUAAAGGCACACACCGCAAACAAUUUUACAUGUGCAAUUUUCAAAGUAGGGGUCUAUGGGUCUACAGCACAGCAUAUCUACAGUGCAUAAAAUGACAUUCUUCUGCACAGGAGAGCAUUUUUAAGCAGCUUUCAAAGGGAAGAAAAAGCAGCACGGUUCUUGGUAGCUGAAUUAUCAGCAGCUUAUUUCUCCUGGUGACUCCUGGAUCCUUCUGCAAACCCACUAAGAAAGCGUUGCUCCUAAACAGCAACAUGCACACAGCAACCAGAAUAUUUCAGAUCUUCAUUUCUACAGGCUGAUGUUAUUAAAAUUAAAAACAUCUGCUUUGAGGAAUGCAGAUUUUCUGGAUGUAAAUGCUUCUCUACUCCCACGGUAAAUUCAACUACUCAUGAAACAAAGUGCAAUUCUAAACAUCCAUCACAUGAUUUUGCACAGUAGCAAAGGGAACAGUGCUUCCCUUACUGUUUCUGUUGUUCAAACAACAAAAACAACAACAACAAAAAUAGGAUAAAAGCUUUCAGAUGAGAGCACGUUCCUAAUCCCUUUGUAGGUAAUAGAGUUCCUAUCUUGUUGCUGCUUUGUGACCAUUUGGCCAUGCAUAGUGGGCGAAGGUUCACCCUGGUAUCUCCAGGACAGCUCCCAGAGAGAUGUGCUUGUGCUUGGGAUAGGCUUUUAGAUCUCUGUCUGUUAUCAGCUCACCAAUGCAGCUUUGUGACUGGGGAGAGUGCUGAGCAGAGCGCCGGCAGUCUGCAUUUCAAAUGCUCUCAUCUCAUCCCAAUUAGAGGCACCCUGGGCUUCAAACUCCUCUGCAAAUCCGGAGAGAAACUUCCUCCCUUUUGUGUUCCCCUUAAAAUCGUUUGGAAAAACUCGAAUAUUUGUGUUAGCUUCUCUUGCGCUGAAGAUAAACCCUAUAUUUCUGUUUAAGAAUGAGCAAAUACGUUUAUUGACUACCACAAGAACACAUCAGUUGCUGUGCUUUAAAUAUGCCUCUACGUUAUUGACUAAUAAGUGCAGACUGUGGAGUUGCACUGAAUGCUGUGGUAUGUACAUGAAACGCUUUGCUUCUUUUGCCUGUUGGGAUAUCUCUAAACAACAAUAAUAAAUAAACAUUACAAACAUUGCGUCAAUCCUACUGGUAAAGGAACUGGAAAAAAAAAAAGGAGAUAAUACAUGGGAGGACACUGCCCUAAUCCAUGCAGACGUGGUGCAUGACUAAGAAAGCACAAUGUGCAUAGGAGUGUGUAUGGUGCUACCCAGAAGUGAAUAAUGGACAUUCUUUUCUCACACUGACUCCUCAUAAAUCUGCCACUGGCUAAAUUUGAGGGUUUCAGAAAUGGUGUUUAAAUGGAAACUUAGAUGAAAGAUAGCAUUAGUGUAAACUAAGAAAAAAACCUUGAUGCCUAUCCAUGUUUUAGGAAAAAAAAGGUUUAAGAUGUUCAAAUACUUUUCUACAUGAGGAGGAACUGGCACCUCCCUUGGACCACAGGACAUAAUAGGAACCACCAAAGAUAGCCUAAAGCAAAUGGUAAAGAAAGGCUCCCACACAGCUCUCAGUUUUGUCAUAAUAUGAAUGGCGUCUUCAAUCAAAUGACCACCGUAAUCACAUAUUGCUCCAAGAACACAGCAACUAUAAUUGUUUAGCAUCAGAAGUGAUCAAAUGUGUGAUAUAAUUUGAAACUGCACAAUAUUUUUUUUUUUCUGAAAAGCUAUGAAAUCCAGCAAUUAGAAUGAUUUAAAUAUUAUUCCAGAAUUAUGUCACUGUUUUGUAAGAAGGAUUUUAACCGAGAUUUUUUCUUCCUGACUCUUUCAAAAUUUCCAGUGUUUUUACACCAGAAGCUAACAACUCUUUCUUCCCCCAUCCUCUCCCAUAAAGACAUAGGGGCGUUUUCAAGAUAGCCCACUCUUCAGCCUGGACUCCAGCCAUUUUAAAUACUGAUUGCCACCUACACAUUCCCACCAUUGCUGUCAACAGAAGAUCUGCUAUCUGUAGGAUGGAUGCUAUCCAAAAGAAGGCUUUAAGUUUUAAUACUGUUUAUAUCCUUUCUUUUGAUACAUAUACAUGUACACAUACAUAUUCAGCCUAUUGAAAAAUUUCUGAUUCUGCUUUCUUUGGGGUCCUCAUGGAUGAUGGCAUUUGUGAAGGCAGGUGUCUCCUUCUCAGUUGGCCAGGUAAAACUUCACUAAGUUCCUGUGGGAAUGUCAAGCAUUACAGUCUUAAAAAUUGGGGAUUAAAAUGAUGAGAAAAGUAAAGUAAAAUUCAUUCAUUAUGUCUGACAUCAAGUAAAUGCUAAAAAGCAGAAACAGCUAAUGAUGAGUCCUGUGGUUAUUGCUGUGAAACACUGAUUGCUUUUCUAACGCAUGUUGUCAGUGAACCCUAGGUUAGACUCUUACUCUGAGGGCAGGGAAGACAAAUUUUGUCCCUUUGAUAUAUGAAGAAGAGAACAAUAGUUGUCCGGCAGAACUUCCCUAUUGAAAUCUAGAGACAGAUCUGAGAGGCACACGCACAUAAAGAUUCAUUGCUGUCCGGGCGAUACUUCCUAGAAGGAUAGAUGCUGUAAAAGCAAACCACCAAACAAAACAUCCUUAGAAAUCCUUUUAUUUUAAAUAUUUUAUUUUAUUAUUUCUUUUUCCAGUGACUUAAAAAUACCACAAUUAAAAUUAUUAUUAAACUAGAUUAAAUGAAGCGGAUAUUUGUUUUCAAGUUUUAAAGCCAAGAAUGUUCUUUGUGCCUCUGUCCAUUUCUGUGCUCCACGUACCCUGGGCUGUUUACACAAGGAUUAUCUUGUUUAUUUUACAGUUAUUAUGCUUCAUAGAAACUAAUCAAGAGAAUAUUUCUUUUUUUAUGACAAAAAGUGGAUGUUGAAUUGCUCAAGUUGCUUUUAUACAACAUUCUUGGGUUUGUGAUAGUGUGAUAUUUAAUAAAGUGUUUAUAAAGGCAGAUAUAAUAGUUUAUCAGAUCUCAGGCAGUCAUAAUAACAAAACUGCCCUUAGCCUGAGUGCUAUGUACUAUACUUUGUAAUUUACAACACGGCACUUUCUAAAUUACUUCAUAAACUAAGAAAGUUGCCUACCAAAGAAUCAAUCUUAUAGGAACUAAGAAAUCUUUUCCUAAAUAUUUUUUCCGUUACUUAGUCUCCAUACAAAUCAUUAUUAAUAGCUUGGACUCAGGCAGAAACUGCACUCCCUUGUAACACGCAACACGUGCAUGCUGUAAAACAUUUUCGUACUGCCCGAUCUACUUAAGUUGCCAGUGGAAGAGAUCUUUCAGCUUGAAAUUCUAUAUGUUUAAAACGCUCUCCUGCAAAAUCAGUGGGGUAAAGUGAAGGGAAAAGACCAAAAGAAAGGCUGAAGAACUUACAGUGAGAAUCCAGUGGAGCAAUUCAAGUGGCAGUUUGCAGUUUAUGAGAUCAUGAAUAGAGAAUGGAGCCUUUCAUUUCUGUGUUGCUAGUCCAAGUCCCUACCAACUUGUAUGAAGUCUGCUUGGUGGGUUCACUGCAGUAGCAUGUGAAACAAAGCCUGUGGCACCAAGUCCAGCCCUCUUUCUGCUUGUGGCUCAGAGGGGUCCCUGGGCUACAAGAACAAUCACUCAUAUAAGAUGCCUUUCUACUGAAGAUCAUCAGAAAAAGAAAGUGUUAUACAAAUCAGAGUGGUGCUCUCCAGACACCUGCUAAAGCCUCAUAAACUAAUAAGGCUAAUCAGAAGGCUCUUAGGCAUUUUGUUUUGCUCUCCCACCAAAAUCAGAGAGAGACAGAAUGUAUCUGAGAGCAGAACCUGUGCCCAGUUAACUCACUUCUCCAGGUGUAUGGUGGAGAUUUUAUAAAGAGGUGGCAGAGAUAUAUCAUACUUGCAAGAAAGAGCAUGCCUGUAACACAAAGCUCACAGUGCUGUGAUAAAAUUAGGGAUGACAUGUCUCUGGAAAAUUUUGUUUACGGACUGAAAUGAAAAUCAAAUACAGUACAUAUAAUACAGUAUAAUAAAAUAUUAGUAGCAGCACUGUCUUUUCCUUGACACUUCCUAUAGAUUUAGCCAUGUAAUACCACCUAACGUUUCUUGUGGUUGCCUUAUCUUGGUGGACCUCGUUCCUCAGCUUCCCUCUCUCUUUCCUUCUUUCUGCAGAGCUUGAGAGCUUGAGAAUUUCAAAUAUCUGUGGGCUGUUAUUGCUAUGUGUCAUGAAUGUGU